UACAAUUCAAUUGAGAUUUGAAUGGGGACACAGCCAACAUAUCAACAUGCCCUUGGCCCAGCAAUUCCACCUGAGUAUGUGCCCAACAGAAAUCUAUUCACUAAUGCACUCAAAGACCUAAAAAAUAAUGUUCAUAGCAGCACUGUUUAAAAUGGCCCCAACCUUGAAACAACCCCAAUGCCAUCAACAGAAUGGAUAAUAAGGUAGUUAAGUGUACACAGUGGGAAUGAACAAAUGACAACUAUAUGCAACAUGCACAAUUUCACAAAUGUAAUGUUGAGUGAAGGAAACCAGGCACAGUAAAGUACAUGCUGGAUAAUUCUGUUUAGGUAAAGUUCAAAACCAGGAAAAAGGAACCUGUGCUGUUGGAAGAGAGUUACCUUUGUCAGGGAAGUGAUGAAAAGGGAGUCCAAGGAGGGCAGCUAGGGUGCUGGUAAUGUUUUGCCUCUUGAUCUAGGCAUUGGUUGCCUAGGUGUCUUCAGUUUGUGAAAUCUCAUUGAGUUGUAGAGUUAUAUAUGUGUAUAUUUCUGUAGGAAUAUCAUACUUCAAUUUUAAUAAAAGAGUAAAGAAUGCAGCAGGCAGGGUACAUGGUGUAGAAGAGAUGGCUGAUUUUCACUGGGAAAGAUUACCCACAGCCCUGGAGUUCACUCUCUGGGCUCCCUGAUGUGCGUACUAUCCCACAGAUUGUUCUCCAAAUUAGAAUGAAUGCAGGCUGGUUUCAGUAUUAUGGGGGUGCUCCUCUGCCUCAGGUCCCAGUGCCAUUGUUACAACAUCAAAGACCAACUGCUGGCUGAGAUGCGGUCCAUAUGAAAAGAGUGACCAGCAAAUUUACUGCUUGACUUCAUUCCCCUUAAAAGGAACUGGCUCCAUGGUCCUCCUUCAAAGCUCAAUUGUAGACAUAUAUCUUCUUUAUAGGACAUCGUUUACAAUAAAGAGGAGCAAUAACUUAAAAUUUAAAAAAAAGAAUACUUUUGAGAGCACUGUGAGGUGGACAUUCCAUUUAAUAAACAUCACUGUGGUUACAUUGCCCAAACAUUCCCAGAAGUCCAGCCAUGGGCCUGAGAGACUUCUACUGGACAUGGUGACUUUUGGGGACUAAUUUGAAUUAUAUUUUUAUGCUCUAGCCCUCUCCCUAGGCUCUGAAAGUUCUUGAGAAGGUCAUUAAUGAGAGGCAAUCUACUUCAAACCAGAGGGCCACCUCACUAAAAUCAGGCAAAAUGGCAAAAUUCAUAGCCCAUUACUCAUUAACUUAUUUGGAGCUGCCCUUCAGUAGGGUAAACAUUUUUUUAAGGGUUGGGGCCAAAUUAAACUCCUGGAUCGAUUAUACAUAGUUCCCCAAUACCCACAUGGACAUCACUCCACAUAAUUCCAGUGUGAAAAUCUCACAGACUUAUUAGCAUUUCCAGAUACUAGAACUCAACUAGAAAACAACAAAGUUGUUUUUAUGCCUAUCAGAAAAUGAAGAAUGUUAUUAACUUUCCAAGAAGGAAAAAAGUAAAAUUAUUUAUAAUAUACAGGAUGUUUUUGGCUUCACAUGGAGUCUGACCCAGGUGGUGGAGAAAGUCACAUCUACGAUCAAAAUGACCAGCCUCCUGAAAACUGACCAAUCCAGAAUAAUCCUUUCAGGUUCACUCAUGAUAGCAGUUGAUCAGCCCAUAGAGGAUACAACGUUCUAAAGAGUGGGCAAGUCAUCCACUUCUGUUUAACCCAUUACUCCUGAAAAGGUUCAGCUCUCCAUACUUUGCUGGAAAAAGGCUAACAACUCAGUGCAUCCUUCCCUCUCUGCUCCCCUCACUGGUACAUUCAGGAAGACACGAACCAGGUGAGACAACUGAGAGCUCCUUACUGAGAGUGUGAAGUGUGAUGGUGGCACAACAUGCAAUUCCGAAGACAUCAUGAAAUGAGAUAAAUCUGGGGAAUCCACAUCAACUAGAAAAAAACUGGAAACAUUUGAAGAGGCAUUGGGAUCACAAAGAGAGUGAAUCUAAACAUUGAACAGCAGACAGACAAGAUAAACCUAGGCAGAGAGAAAACUUGCCUCAAUCUUGGAUUAAAUGCAGAGGUCUGCUUGAACAUUCCAAGGUCAAACUAAAAGUCUACAAGAGCAGGAGACUUGAUUCAAAACAGCUCGUCUCUGACUGGUUUUCAUGUGGGCAGAGGGGACUCUCUCGACACUAAGAUGACCACAGCUCACAUAGAGGUGUCAGCUGAAAUAUGGAGGAUUACCACUACUGUAGAAGAUGUCCUAUGCAAAAAAAAAAAAAACCAGCAUAAGCUAA
rnacentral:lncRNA from 1 species